rnacentral:rRNA from 1 species
AUUGAACGCUGGCGGCAGGCUUAACACAUGCAAGUCGAGCGGGGUGAUGGUGCUUGCACUAUCACUUAGCGGCGGACGGGUGAGUAAUGCUUAGGAAUCUGCCUAUUAGUGGGGGACAACAUCUCGAAAGCGAUGCUAAUACCGCAUACGUCCUCCGGGAGAAAGCAGGCGAUCACUUGUGACCUUGCGCUAAUAGAUGAGCCUAAGUCGGAUUAGCUAGUUGGUGGGGUAAAGGCCUACCAAGGCGACGAUCUUUAGCGGGUCUGAGAGGAUGAUCCGCCACACUGGGACUGAGACACGGCCCAGACUCCUACGGGAGGCAGCAGUGGGGAAUAUUGGACAAUGGGGGGAACCCUGAUCCAGCCAUGCCGCGUGUGUGAAGAAGGCCUUAUGGUUGUAAAGCACUUUAAGCGAGGAGGAGGCUCUUUUGGUUAAUACCCAAGAUGAGUGGACGUUACUCGCAGAAUAAGCACCGGCUAACUCUGUGCCAGCCGCCGCAGUAA